GUGGAAGCCUGAUGCUGUUGCAGCAUCUGUUAGGAUGUUUGUUGCUCGUGGUAUGGAGGUUAUUACCGCUCGGUCAUACGGUAAAAAUCUUGACCUUUAUGCAGAAAGGAUUGGAGCAAUAAAUGUUGUUUGCUUGUCACCAGAGGCUGCUGCAAGGUAAAGAGCCAACUGAAAAGAAUAGCUUGACCAAUGUACUCCAAUCCUCCUGUUCAUGGGGCGAGGAUCAUUGCCAAUAUCGUUGGGGAUUCAGCUCUCUUCAACUAAUGGAAUGCAGAGAUGGAAAUGAUGGCCGGGAGAAUUAAGAACGUGAGACAAAUUAUUCGACCGUCUUUCUUCCAAAGAUAAAAGUGGGAAGGAUUGGUCUUCGUUCUCAAGCAGAUCGGCAUGUUUUCAUUCACAGACUUAAACAAAGCUCAUAAUGGCCUGUUCCAACACAGAUACUCGAUAUGUGUUGGAUUUUAAUCUUUGUAUUAUGACAUUAUGUCUGUGUGUGUUUUCCCCUUAACAGUGCGAUAAUAUGACGAACAAGUGGCACGUAUAUGACCAA